AGUCAGGAUUGCCAGCCAACCUGCUCCAGGACCUGUGUGCUCUACUGCUUCCAGGGUACACAGUUGUUGUUUAGUAAAGACUCAAUGACCAAGACUUCCUCUGCAUAUAUACAUGCGCAUGUUUAUUUGCAUGAAUAAAAAGGUUUCCCUGUGCUUUCAGCACCUGAGCAUGGCACAGCGUGUGAGCCUUCUGGUCCUUCUCCUGGGAGUGCUGGCAUUUCAGAUGAAAGGGGUGCUUGGUUUGUCAGAUGAGAGCAGUGACAGCAGUCCUGGGCACCGAAAGAGCUACUACGUGGUUUGGAUGCUGGUAAGUCAAUAGCAUUUGCCUUUCCUGAAAAAAUGAAGGUACUUUGGAUCAGGGUUUCUCAAAGCAGCACCAUUGACUUUAGGGGCUGAUGAUUCUCUGCUGCUGGGUUUCCCUGUCAUUGCAGGGUGUUUAUCAGCAUCUCUGACCUGUUCCCUCUAGAUGCUAAUAGCACCUCUGUCCUCUAUAUGGGACAACCAAUGUCUCCAGAUAUGGUCAGAUGUCCCCUGGAGACAGAACUUCUCCCCAGUUAAAACUCUUAAUUUUUUACUUUUUUCCAUCGUGGCACAGCAGAAAUGAAUCCAGCUAGGAACCAUGAGGUUACAGGUUCUAUCCCUGGCCUCGCUCAGUGGGUAAAGGAUGGUUAAGGAUCUGACGUUGCCGUGAGAUGUGAUAUAGGUCACAGACAUGGCUCAGAUCCUGUGUUGUCACAAGUGUGGCCCUAAAAAGCAAAAAACAAAAUCAAAAACCCUCUUGUUUUAGAUAAUUUACAGGAGACGCCUACUUAAGUUGGAGAAAUUUAGCACACUGGCAAUACUUGAGGGGCUAGUAAAAUAUGAGCAUCUGAAUUUUUCAAAUCUCUUGUGUACUGAACCCAAACAAGAAUGUUUUGGAUUCAGGGAGAACAGAUUUAUUUUUGCAUAUAAUAUUUUUCUGUCAUACCAGAGGAAUUCAGUACUGGGCUUAGUUUAGAAGACAGAAAGUUCAAACUAACCGUUUGAGUUCCAGUAUCAUCCCAAAGGAAAUCCUACAAUACCACCUACAUCAACAAAAUAAUUUAAUCAUUUAGGACAUAAUGAUGAGGAUUUUUUUUUGUCUUUUUGCUAUUUCUUUGGGCCGCUCCUGCGGCAUAUGGAGGUUCCCAGGCUAGAGGUCUAAUCGGAGCUGUAGCUGCCAGCCUACGCCAGAGCCACAGCGACACGGGAUCCGAGCCGCAUCUACAACCUACACCACUGCUCAUGGCAAUGCCGGAUCGUUAACCCACUGAGCAAGGGCAGGGACGGAACCCGCAACC
rnacentral:lncRNA from 1 species